CCUACGGGUGGCAGCAGUCGAGAAUCAUUCACAAUGGGGGAAACCCUGAUGGUGCGACGCCGCGUGGGGGAAUGAAGGUCUUCGGAUUGUAAACCCCUGUCAUGUGGGAGCAAAUUAAAAAGAUAGUACCACAAGAGGAAGAGACGGCUAACUCUGUGCCAGCAGCCGCGGUAAUACAGAGGUCUCAAGCGUUGUUCGGAAUCACUGGGCGUAAGGCGUGCGUAGGCUGUUUCGUAAGUCGUGUGUGAAAGGCGCGGGCUCAACCCGCGGACGGCACAUGAUACUGGGAGACUAGAGUAAUGGAGGGGGAACCGGAAUUCUCGGUGUAGCAGUGAAAUGCGUAGAUAUCGAGAGGAACACUCGUGGCGAAGGCGAGUUCCUGGACAUUAACUGACGCUGAGGCACGAAGGCCAGGGGAGCGAAAGGGAUUAGAUACCCGAGUAGUC
rnacentral:rRNA from 1 species